rnacentral:tmRNA from 1 species
GGGAAUGAUUUGUUUCGAUGGCAGUACUUUUAUAAAACAGCAGGUUAAGGACGGCCCGUUACCUUGUCAAUCAUCGGGUCAAAAACAACUGUCAAAAACAAUUUGACUCCUGCCUUGGCUUUUGCCUAAGCAGGCAUCGCUUGAUUAAAACUUGAUAGAUUAAAGCGGUGUAAACAAUCAAGUUAUAGCUGAUUUUCCGGCCGAGAAAAUUAGUUGAACAAAAUCGGCCGAGAAUUAUGAAUAUUUCGCCGAAUUUAAGUUCAUAAUUCUUACAAAAAAUAAUUUGGCUAAACCUGUAGAAAUUUUAUAAAAUUAAUGUCAGACGCGAGUUCAAUUCUCGCCAUUUCCACUA